CGCGGGGUGGAGCAGUCUGGUAGCUCGUCGGGCUCAUAACCCGAAGGUCGCAGGUUCAAAUCCUGCCUCCGCAAUCA
rnacentral:tRNA from 7 species